rnacentral:rRNA from 1 species
GAUGAACGCUGGCGGCGUGCCUAAUACAUGCAAGUCGAACGCUGAAGGAAGGAGCUUGCUCUUUCCGGAUGAGUUGCGAACGGGUGAGUAACGCGUAGGUAACCUGCCUGGUAGCGGGGGAUAACUAUUGGAAACGAUAGCUAAUACCGCAUAACAGUAGAUGUUGCAUGAUAUCUACUUAAAAGGUGCAAUUGCACCACUACCAGAUGGACCUGCGUUGUAUUAGCUAGUUGGUGAGGUAACGGCUCACCAAGGCGACGAUACAUAGCCGACCUGAGAGGGUGGUAGGCGACACUGGGGCUGAGACACGGCCAAUGCUACUACGGGACGCAGCAGACGGGAAUGUUAGGCAAUAGACGGAAGUCUGACAGAGCAACGCCGAGUGAGAGACGACGGUUUUCGGAUCGGAAAGAUCUGUUGUAAGAGAAGAACGAGUGUGAGAGUGGAAAGUUCACAAUGUAACGGUAUCUGAACAGAAACGGACGGCUAACAACGUG